rnacentral:rRNA from 1 species
UACAGAGGGUGCAAGCGUUAAUCGGAAUUACUGGGCGUAAAGCGUGCGUAGGCGGUUACAUAAGUCGGGUGUGAAAGCCCCGGGCUCAACCUGGGAAUUGCAUUCGAGACUGCGUAGCUAGGGUGCGGAAGAGGGAAGCGGAAUUUCCGGUGUAGCGGUGAAAUGCGUAGAUAUCGGAAGGAACACCAGAGGCGAAGGCGGCUACCUGGACAAUUGCUGACGCUCAGGCACGAAAGCGUGGGGAGCAAACGGG